rnacentral:rRNA from 1 species
AGAGUUUGAUCAUGGCUCAGAUUAAACGCUGGCGGCAUGGCUAAAGCAUGCAAGUCGAACGAGAACCAGGCUUCGGCCUGGGGACAGUGGCGAAAGGGUGAGGAACGCGAUCGAACGUGCCCCGAGGUGGGGGAUAGCGUCGAGAAAUCGGCGGUAAUACCCCAUAUCCUCUACGGAGGAAAGAUUUAUCGCCUUGGGAGCGGCGAUCGUCCUAUCAGGUUGUUGGUGAGGUAAUGGCUCACCAAGCCUAAGACGGGUAGCGGGUGUGAGAGCAUGGCCCGCCACAUCGGGACUGAGACACUGCCCGGACUCCUACGGGAGGCUGCAGCGACGAAUCUUCCGCAAUGGGCGAAAGCCUGACGGAGCAAUGCCGCGUGCGGGAUGAAGCGGCUUCGCCGUGUAAACCGCUGUCAGGUUCUAGGAACCAUGACCAGAACCAGAGGAAGGGCCGGCUAAUUCCGUGCCAGCAGCCGCGGUAAUACGGAAGGCCCGAGCGUUAAUCGGAAUCACUGGGCUUAAAGGGUGCGUANGCGGACCCGUAAGCGUCUUGUGAAAGCCCCCGGCUCAACCGGGGAAUUGCAGGGCGAACUACGGGUCUUGAGGUA